rnacentral:rRNA from 1 species
UACGUAGGGUGCGAGCGUUGUCCGGAAUUAUUGGGCGUAAAGAGCUCGUAGGCGGUGUGUCGCGUCGGCCGUGAAAACCUGCAGCUUAACUGUGGGCGUGCGGGUGAUACGGGCAGACUGGAGUACUGCAGGGGAGACUGGAAUUCCUGGUGUAGCGGUGGAAUGCGCAGAUAUCAGGAGGAACACCGGUGGCGAAGGCGGGUCUCUGGGCAGUAACUGACGCUGAGGAGCGAAAGCCGUGGGGGAGCGAACAGG